ensembl:lncRNA
GUAUGGCUGCUUUGUUCAGUGACACGGGGAUGUUCUUCACCUGCCCUCGGUUGGCUGAGGGGAGCCUUCAUGGCGGCUGCAGCUCCUCACAGGGAGCGGAGGGGCAGCGCUGAGCUCUGCUCUGUGUGACAGCGACAGGGCCCGAGGGAACGGCAUGGAGCUGUGUCAGGGGAGGGGCAGCUGGCGGUCAGGGACAGGGUCUGCACCAGAGGGCGGUGGGCUUUGAAUGGGCUGCCCAGAGCUGUGGGCACAGCCCUGAGCUGCCGGAGUUCAGUGAGCAUUUGACAUCACUCUCAGACGUAAGGUCUGAUCCGUAUGAGUCUCUUCCAGCUUGGAAUAUUCUUUGAUUCACCCUUGAAUUCAAGGUGUUGAACAACCCUGAACCAUGUGCUCCACUGGCAGUGAAGUGCCUCACGCUGACACGGCUUGUUCUUCCUGAGACAAGCUAACGUUACCUCAUGCGUAUAACUUUUUAUAUUGAUAUAAGCAUAUCUGUACCAGGAAAGCUCAGUGAAUUAACUUUACUACUUCUGGCUACAGAUCGCAUAAAAAUAAAUCGUUUCCAUUACUCGUCCUGACAUAGGUAACUCAAAUGUAGUGCUCUUUUGGAAACAAAGCACGCAGUGAAAUUGAAACAGCUUUACUAUGUGAGAAAGUCCUUGUUUGCUUAUAUAUUCAACUGGAACACAUACAUCACAUAUAGAGCUACAUAGUAAUCAAAUUGAAGUACAUAUACAUAAAAAUAAUAUAUGCCUGAAAAAGUGUAUAUUAUGCACGUUUCCGUGUCAAGCCCUAUAUAAACCAUUAGGUUCCAGAAGUGUCUAUUAUGUAAGUAGCUUACAUAAAUAAUCUAAUUGGUGACACACCUAAUACCUGGCAAUGUGUUCUGUUGAAUAGAAGUCCAAAAUUUAUUUAGAAGAUGAAUUAAAAGAAUGUAUCUAAAAGCUGCAAUUCAUGGGUCAGAGUUAAGAUUGUGUUUUUUUUUUAAUCCACUAUAGAGGGGACUUUCCCUUCCUAAGUGGCUGUUCAUAUUCCUUUGCUCGAGCCCCACAUGAACACAGAUUUCAGCACCAUCCAAUAAUAAUCUGAAAAUUGCCUUCAUGGGUGAAGAUUGCUUUGAGUGGCAUUACUGGAAGUUACCCAUAGCCCUGCCUUAAUCUGGUCUGGGAAGACUUCCUAAAAAAUCAUUUCCAUAUCCAGCCUAUCAGCUAGAGUAAGGAUAUGUAUCCAAAUGAUCAGAGUAAUUCUUGCCCAUGCCUGGUUUGGAUGAGGAGUACAUACAUGAGGACUUCAAGAUGGCUGAUGGUGCCUUUUACUGGGCAAAUGUGCUGGAGAAAGGAACUGGAUAACUGUUCCAAGUAACUGCAGAAUAAUAACAAGGACUUUGUUGGCAAAUUGAAGGUCAGGUGGAGGAGCCAUGCAGACACUGAUCAAUAUUUGCUGCAAGUGACAGAUGUUCACUAUGUCUUGCUCAAAAUCUAUGAGAGAAGGAGGAAGUGUCCAAACUGCUCAGGAAAACAGGAUGAGGGAUUUUGUUCUGCUCUUUCUUAAGCCAGAGAAUAUAGAGGUGAAAAAUGAAUGCGUUGUAGCCAAAUAACAGACAAGCAUCUUUAUUACUCUUUUUUGUUAAGAACUUUUGUUAUUAGGGGAAGGUGAGAACUUUGGGAUGCCUCUACCCAUUUUUUCAUGAUGACCUUUACUAACUCAGCUUAGCUCUGACAUGACACACCUUAAGUGCUGAGUACACUUAUCUUUGGAAAGGAAAGCAG